AUUGAACGCUGGCGGCAUGCUUUACACAUGCAAGUCGAACGGUAACAGGGAGCUUGCUCCGCUGACGAGUGGCGAACGGGUGAGUAAUGCGUCGGAACGUGCCGGGUAGUGGGGGAUAACGCAUCGAAAGGUGUGCUAAUACCGCAUACGUACUGAGGUAGAAAGUGGGGGACCUUCGGGCCUCACGCUAUUCGAGCGGCCGACGUCUGAUUAGCUAGUUGGUGAGGUAAAGGCUCACCAAGGCGACGAUCAGUAGCGGGUCUGAGAGGAUGAUCCGCCACACUGGGACUGAGACACGGCCCAGACUCCUACGGGAGGAAGCAGUGGGGAAUUUUGGACAAUGGGCGCAAGCCUGAUUCAGCCAUGCCGCGUGUCUGAAGAAGGCCUUCGGGUUGUAAAGGACUUUUGUCCGGGAGCAAAUGCCUGGUGUUAAUAGCACUGGGAGCUGAGAGUACCGGAAGAAUAAGCACCGGCUAACUACGUGCCAGCAGCCGCCGUAACAC
rnacentral:rRNA from 1 species